rnacentral:lncRNA from 1 species
CUCGUACACAAUGUUAUGGGUGAGAUACUAUAUAUCAACGGAAAUAUAUGAGAGUCCUCUUUCUAAUGAAAUAGGUUUCAUCCAAUUUGGAUAUCGGACUAAAACGUUAUGGUUAAUCUACUUCAGACUAUUAAAACAAUCCAUCAAAGGACAGAUUCAAAAAUUAUUUGAUUUUUAAGGGCGUUUUGGUCAUUCUUCCUAACCUAAAAUCCAUUCAAACCCUUUAUUA